UGACGCUGGCGGGGCUUGACACAUCCCAGUNUUNNAGGUACAGAGAGUAGCUUGCUACUUUGCUGUACGAGCGGCGGACGGGUGAGUAAUGCUUGGGAAUAUGCCUUUUGGUGGGGGACAACAGUUGGAAACGACUGCUAAUACCGCAUAAUGUCUACGGACCAAAGUGGGGGACCUUCGGGCCUCACGCCAAAAGAUUAGCCCAAGUGGGAUUAGCUAGUUGGUAAGGUAAUGGCUUACCAAGGCAACGAUCCCUAGGCUGGUUUGAGAGGAUGAUCAGCCACACUGGGACUGAGACACGGCCCAGACUCCUACGGGAGGCAGCAGUGGGGAAUAUUGCACAAUGGGCGCAACGCCUGAUGCAGCCAUGCCGCGUGUGUGAAGAAGGCCAUUCGGGUUGUAACAUGCACUUUCAGCUAAGGACGGAAAGGGUAGUCUUUAAUAGAGGCUAUCUGUGACGUUACUUACAGAAGAAGCACCGGCUAACUCCGUGCCAGCAGCCGCGGUAAUACGGAGGGUGCGAGCGUUAAUCGGAAUUACUGGGCGUAAAGCGUACGCAGGCGGUUUGUUAAGCGAGAUGUGACAAGCCCCGGGGCUCAACCUGGGGAAACUUGCAUUUUCGAACUGGGCAAACUAGAGUUGUGAUACGCACGGGGUUGGUACGGAUUUCGGGUGUAGCGGGUGCAAUGCGUUGACGAUCUGAGGGACUACGAUGGCGAAGGCCGCCCUGGGUCACACUGACGCUCCUUGUCGAAAGCGUUGGGGAGGCACCCG
rnacentral:rRNA from 1 species